AGGCAACAGUCAGUCGAACCCGAUCGAUUUAUUAGCACUGUGAAUCGUGUUCUAUAGAUACUAAGUAUAUAUCAAGCAACACGGUCUGGACGCAGAACAAAAGAUAGUGAUAUGCGCACUGCUAAAUUAUCCAACUGAAUCUCGUCGGCACGUUUGGCUGUUAGUUCUGACUGCCGUUACCUCUUACCCGCACAUUAUGGCCAACACGGAGUUUGCCAAGAACCUGGACACGUUCUCCCGCAAUGUAUACUCGGAAUUGGUGCAGUUAAAUCAAAAUACAAACAUCAUUUUCUCGCCGUUCUCCAUACAAACCUGCGCAGCGAUGGUGCGUAUUGGCGCUGAGGGAGAGACUGCCACUGAAAUGGAUGUUGGCCUUAAGCUUGUCUCCAGUGAUGUGAAGGAAAUUGCCGAUACCUAUGGCCAAGUGAUGGCCGAUUACGAGAAGAGCAAGGUGCUGAAAAUAGCCAACAAGGUGUAUAUCAAGGAGGGGUACAGUGCCCGCGAAGAGUUCAAAAAUAUAUUGACCAGAAAGUUCCUAUCUAAGCCGGAAAACAUUAAUUUCGUACAGAGCAGUGUAGCUGCCUCUACGAUUAAUGCCUGGGUUGAAUCAAAGACAAAUAAUUUAAUUAAGGAUCUUAUAAGCCCCGAUGUAUUGAACGCAGACACGCGUCUAGUGCUAAUUAAUGCCAUACACUUUAAAGGCCAAUGGAAGACUAAAUUCGAUGAAGCAAACACUGAGGACGAGGAUUUCUAUCUCAACGACGUCGAUAAAGUAAAAAUGCCAAUGAUGAACGUGAGACAUGAUUUCCGCUUCGCCGAACUGCCGGAAUAUGACGCUCAGGCCCUUGAAAUGCCCUACAAAGAUAGUGAUCUGUCCAUGCUAGUCAUAUUGCCAAACAAAAAGACGGGCCUGUUGAGUCUAGAACAAAAAUUGAAGACCGUGAAAUUGUCUGAUAUCACAAGCAAAUUAUCUUCCACGAAAGUUAUUGUCAAAUUUCCCAAAUUUAAAGCCGAAUUCUCGCAGGAAUUGACGCCUGUUUUCAAAAAGCUUGGAAUGGUGCGCUUAUUCGCUGACAAUGCCGAAUUUGGCAAUAUAUUGCAAAGUCCUGAGGCAUUGAAGGUUUCUCAAAUCAUACACAAAGCCUUCAUCGAUGUUAAUGAGGAAGGUACUGAAGCAGCUGCAGCCACUGCUGCCGCGGUCGUGCUUUACAGCAUGCCCCUACCAGAACCGGAGCCAAUUACAUUUACUGCGAACCAUCCAUUCUUCUAUGCGAUCCGUAAUCACAGCGGCUGCUUAUUUGCUGGGAAUUUUAAAGUGUCAUUCAGCGAGAAGAAGCACAAAAAACAUUGUCCCUGUAAAAAAAAACGGAAUUCCAAGAAUUAAAGGUCUAUUACUUAGCCUUUUAUCUAACUUGUAACUCGAAGCACUUAAAGCAAACCCAAAAGUGAAUUUGUGGACCCCUAGAUAGGCCACACAGACCUAUUAUGAGUCAAAAACGUGGGACUUACAAAAUGGUUUUAACUGAAUAUUCUGCACUGGAUAUUGAGCCAGAUAGUCCCAUAUCCUUCAAAGCAGAAGACCCUUCUCUUAUUCGAUAUACCAGGAAAAGGGCAGCGUGCUCUUCCUUGGAAAAUUGUGUACAGCCCCUACCGGAAACACCUGUCUGGAAAGUUGUACCAAACGAAAGCGCUGCAAUAGAAUUGAAAGAAAAUUCAUAGUUCUUGAAUCAAAAUUCAAAUAAAGUUUACAUACCAUCAACCCA